AUGUCCUGUCAAACUCGUCUCGU
rnacentral:siRNA from 1 species